AUUGAACGCUGGCGGCAGGCCUAACACAUGCAAGUCGAACGAGUGGCGGACGGGUGAGUAAUGUCUGGGAAACUGCCUGAUGGAGGGGGAUAACUACUGGAAACGGUAGCUAAUACCGCAUACCAUCGGAUGUGCCCAGCUGGGAUGAGCUAGUAGGUGGGGUAAAGGCUCACCUAGGCGACGAUCCCUAGCUGGUCUGAGAGGAUGACCAGCCACACGGGAACUGGUACAGGGUCCGGACUCCUACGGAGGGCGGCAGUGGGGAAUAUUGCACACUGGGCGCAAGCCUUAUGCAGCCAUGCGGCGUGUAUGAAGAGGGCUUUCGGGUUUUAAAGUACUUUCAGCGGGGCGGCGUUACCCGCAGAGGAAGCACCGGCUAACUCCGUGCCAGCAGCCGCGGUAAUAC
rnacentral:rRNA from 1 species